AUGAACGCUGGCGGCGUGCCUCAUACAUGCCAGUCGCGCGAACAGACGAGGAGCUUGCUCCUCUGACGUUAGCGGCGGACGGGUGAGUAACACGUGGAUAACCUACCUAUAAGACUGGGAUAACUUCGGGAAACCGGAGCUAAUACCGGAUAAUAUAUUGAACCGCAUGGUUCCAUAGUGAAAGACGGUUUUGCUGUCACUUAUAGAUGGAUCCGCGCCGCAUUAGCUAGUUGGUAAGGUAACGGCUUACCAAGGCAACGAUGCGUAGCCGACCUGAGAGGGUGAUCGGCCACACUGGAACUGAGACACGGUCCAGACUCCUACGGGAGGCAGCAGUAGGGAAUCUUCCGCAAUGGGCGAAAGCUUGACGGAGCAACGCCGCGUGAGUGAUGAAGGUCUUCGGAUCGUAAAACUCUGUUAUUAGGGAAGAACAAAUGUGUAAGUAACUAUGCACGUCUUGACGGUACCUAAUCAGAAAGCCACGGCUAACUACGUG
rnacentral:rRNA from 1 species